CCACGACGUGCUACAAUGGCCGGUAACAAGUGGGGCUAGGCGAUGACCCGCGAGGGGGAGCGAAUCCCAAAAAGCCGCUCUCAGUUCGGAUUGCAGGCUGCAACUCGCCUGCAUGAAGCCGGAAUCGCUAGUAAUCGCGGAUCAGCAUGCCGCGGUGAAUACGUUCCCGGGCCUU
rnacentral:rRNA from 1 species